ensembl:snRNA U6 U6 spliceosomal RNA
GUGCUCGCUUCGGCAGCACAUAUACUAAAAUUGGAACGAUACGGAGAAGAUUAGCACAGCCCCUGCACAAGGAUGACACGCAAAUUCGUGAAGUGUACCAUAUUUAA